AGUGAACGCUGGCGGUAGGCCUAACACAUGCAAGUCGAACGGCAGCACAGUAAGAGCUUGCUCUUACGGGUGGCGAGUGGCGGACGGGUGAGGAAUACAUCGGAAUCUACUUUUUCGUGGGGGAUAACGUAGGGAAACUUACGCUAAUACCGCAUACGACCUACGGGUGAAAGCAGGGGAUCUUCGGACCUUGCGCGAUUGAAUGAGCCGAUGUCGGAUUAGCUAGUUGGCGGGGUAAAGGCCCACCAAGGCGACGAUCCGUAGCUGGUCUGAGAGGAUGAUAAGCCACACUGGAACUGAGACACGGUCCAUACUCCUACGGGAGGCAGCAGUGGGGAAUAUUGGACAAUGGGCGCAAGCCUGAUCCAGCCAUACCGCGUGGGUGAAGAAGGCCUUCGGGUUGUAAAGCCCUUUUGUUGGGAAAGAAAAGCAGCAGGUUAAUACCCCGCUGUUCUGACGGUACCCAAAGAAUAAGCACCGGCUAACUUCGUG
rnacentral:rRNA from 1 species